rnacentral:rRNA from 1 species
UACGGAGGAUGCAAGCGUUAUCCGGAAUGAUUGGGCGUAAAGCGUCCGCAGGUGGCUGUGUAAGUCUGCUGUUAAAGAGUCUAGCUCAACUAGAUACAAGCAGUGGAAACUACACGGCUAGAGUACGUUCGGGGCAGAGGGAAUUCCUGGUGUAGCGGUGAAAUGCGUAGAGAUCAGGAAGAACAUCGGUGGCGAAAGCGCUCUACUGGACGGUGACUGACACUCAGGGACGAAAGCUAGGGGAGCGAAUGGG